UGCUUCAACCNAACUGAAUUAAAGUAAAAUAAGUUUCCGACUCUCAUCAAGUCAAUCAAACGGAAUCUCAUGAUAAAAACCCCUAAAUAAUAUAAUUGUUCAUAUUAAAUGAUCUAGACAAAAAAACAGUAAAUUCCAUAGGCAAUAAAACCAUUCCUCAAUCGCCACCAGCCUUGUUGUAAACAUAGGUGAGGCCACACUUACCACAGUAGUGCCUGUCAAAAUGGUUAGCCAUGAAAGUUCCCGCACCACACUCAGCAUUAGGGCAUUCCUUACGGAGCCUCUGGACCUUUCCAGAAUCAUCAACCUUGUAGAACUGCAGAACAGCGAGCUUAACCUUCUUAUGCUUGUGCUUGAUCUUCUUCGGCUUGGUGUAGGUCUUCUUCUUGCGCUUCUUGGCACCACCCCGGAGGCGGAGAACGAGGUGAAGAGUGGACUCCUUCUGGAUGUUGUAGUCGGCGAGGGUGCGACCAUCCUCCAGCUGCUUUCCGGCGAAUAUAAGACGCUGCUGGUCCGGCGGGAUGCCUUCCUUAUCCUGGAUCUUGGCCUUCACAUUGUCGAUGGUGUCGGACGAUUCAACCUCCAAGGUUAUGGUCUUCCCCGUUAGGGUUUUCACGAAGAUCUGCAUCUUCGCAGUGAAGGGAAACUGCCAGCUAGGGUUUUUUGGGCGCUCUCAGUUCUUCCGUCUAAAGGCUGAGUCGAGACGAG
rnacentral:lncRNA from 1 species